CUUCAGAGAAGGAAGCUUCAAGCAGUGAGGUGGGAGCAUCAUAGUUCAACUCCGUAGCCAGCUUUUCUGGGUUCAAACUCCGUUUCUUCACUUAUUAGCUCUCAGUGCCUUUAGAGACAUUACUUAACUUUCUGGGUCACAGUUUUUAUAUUUGUAAGGCAGGGAUGAAAAUAGCAUCCACACUGCAUAUUGCUGUGAGACUGAAAGCGUUAGGAGGCUGGAAAGCACACGAAUGGUGCCCAGCACAUAAUAAGUACUCAUUGAUGAAUGGCAGCCAUAUUUUGUUCUCCGGUAUUUGAUGCCUGAGGUCAUGUGAUACCACUGAUAUAGCAGAGACGAAGAAUGUUGAGUGGAUUAGGUAUUAAGCGAUUUUGACUCACCUAUUUACAGGAAGGCUAGCGGAGCGGCCUCUAGACGUGUGCCACACUUGCAUGGCUGUAUCAGCUUUUGUUGCAUAUCAAACCAUCCCAAAACUCUGUGGCUUAAAACAGUGUUUAUAUUUGGCAUGAACCUAUAGGUCAGCUGGGGGAUUCUACUGGUCCAGCAUGGGCUCAACAGAUUUGGGCUGGGCCCAGGAAGGUGUCCGAGGUCAGCUGGCACAGCUGAUGGGGCUGGCUGGUCCAAGACGACCUAACUUAGUUUUCUGGUGGUUGUCUGGCUGAAAUGACAGUGGUGGCUGGACCAUGUGUUCCUCAUCCUCCGGGAGGACAGCCUGUUCCUCUUCACUUGGCAGCUCACAGGACUCCAAGAGGGAGAGCAGAAGCCGAGGCUCAGGCUCAGAACCGGUACAAUGCCUCUUUCCGCCACACUCAGCAAAGCAAGUCGCCAGGCUGUAUCCACCUCUUGAUAGGAGGAAGUAGGGAGUAGCGUAGCAUGGCAAAAGUUGGGUAAAGACUAGUGUAGAGAAGUGCAGCUGUUUCUGCAACUGGCCCAUGGCGAGAAGAUCAAAGGUCACCUUGGGCAAGCUACUUACCCUCUCUAGGCUUCUCAUCUGCAAGUUCGCUUUGUAGUGAUAGUUCUCAUUUGUUGAGUGCUUACUGGGUACUGUAUGCUGAUGAUCUCUUUUAUCCUCAGACAUACCUCACAUAGCAUGUACUAUUACCCUCCUUGUACCGAUGAGGAAGCUGAAUGUCAGUGAAAGUAAAUAACUGAAAUGACAUCAGCUCCUGCAGCUGUCAGUCUGAAGCUGCAAGUCCAGGCUAGGCUGUCUGACCCCAGAGUAUGUCUGGGCAACUCCUUGUUGCACAGAAUCUCUUCUAGGCAUUUAUGAAGCUCUAAUCCUUGGUAUAUAGAGUUUAGCUUCCAAGUUGUUGUCCUAAUGCAGGCAAGCCUGGUCGCAGGUCUGCUGGGGCCUUGGUGAGGAGAGGAAAGCACAGGGGCCAUCAGGGCCACUUAAGUGGGAGCUGGGCCUGGCCCUCCAGAGGCAGCCGAAGAGUCCAGAAUGCAGAGUUCCAUGGGGUCAGGCCACCAUGGCUUGGUAUAGACAAGUGUUAAUUUUCAGAGGAGACCAAAUCAGCAGGGGUAGGGGAGGGGGUGCCUCAUGAAAUGGGAUGCCAGGGGGUAUUGGUGUCAUUUGUGGCAGCUUUGAUAGGAGCAUGCUGUAGUUCUGGUCCCCUGACCAGGGUUAGGUGUGUGCUUAUGGCUUAAACAAGCAGAUGAAGAGGUGAGAGUGAGGAUUUCAGCCUGACCAGCAUUCAUACACUCAAAAGAUGUUUACUGAGCGCCUGCAUGCACCAGGUGCUGUGCUGAGUCCAGAACAGCGGCCUAGGCAGGAGCACCAACUCUGCCCUCUAAUGGAGGUACUGCAGGAAAUGUAAGUGAGCCAACCCGUGAAAUGACUGCACGCUGUCAAAUGCAAAUAAGAAAUCGAGCUACAGCAUUGGUGUGUGUGUGUGUGUGUGUGUGUGUGUGUGUGUGUGUGUGUGUGUGGUGGGGAGGGAAUACUUGUGAAAGGCAGAUCAAGAUGCCUUCUUGGGGAGGGGACAGUGAAGCUGAGACCCAGUGGACUGUUGGAGCCACAUGUGGUAAGGGAGGGGCUGUCCUGGCAGAGGGAGGAGGGUGAGAUGGGGAAGGCUGGGCCUGUCCUCAAGGUGGAAGGAAGCCUCAGUGAGCAAAGAGUAGGAGGAAGCUGGACCUCGAUUGUCUUGGGCUUUGGGCCUUGUGCCUCGGGCAGGCGUUUAGAUUUUAUUUUAAGUACAAGGGGAAGCAAUUGCAGGGACUUAGGGUAGGGAUGACACCUGUGAUUUCUGUCUUGAGAUCACGUUUGCUGCUGCGUGGAGAAUGGAUUACAUGUUGGGUAAGAGUGGACACAGAGAGACCAGUUUUACACGACUGUCCUGUUCUGUAUCCAAGUGGAAAGCAUGAGGCCCUGGAUUGGGGAAGACAGAGAAGCCUACAGUGGGCACUGGGCAAUGAAUUAGGUACUACUGAUGACGGCAAGAGAUGCUACUUGAUGAUUUCUUUUUUUUUUUUUUUUGUGGCAAUUGUGAAUGGCAGUUCGUUCUUGAUUUGGCUCUCUUUAAGUCUGUUAUUGGUGUAUAGGAAUGCUUGUGAUUAUUUCUUAAUGAAGCCUGAAUUCCAUAGCACAGGAGUUAAAGCUGCUCUUCCGUGCUGCUAGCAAUGCUUUAAUAACAUCUUCUUGGAACAUUAUUCUAUUAGUCUGCUAGAGGUGCCAUAGCAAUCGGUGGACCACAGACUGGACUAACAGAAAUAAGUGAAACAAUACCAACUUAUUUCUUGAAGUUCUGGAGGCUAGACGUCCCAGGUCAAGGUGUCAGCAGGGUUGCUUUUUCUCUCUUGAGACCCCUCUCUUUGGCUUGCAGAUGACUGCCUUUUCCCUGUGUCCUCACAUGGUUUUUUCUGUGUGUUUAUAUGUAUGUGUAUGUCCAAGAUAACCUUUUCUUCCAAGGACAUGCACCGUAUUGCAUUAGGCCCCACCCUAAUGACCUCAUUUUAACCUACUUCUUUAAGAACCUUAUCUGCAAAUACGAUCACAUUCUGAGAAACUGGGGGUCAGGACUUCAACAUGUAAAUUUUGAGGGAACUCAAUUCAGUCCAAACAAUUAUUAUUUUUUUCUCUUCCCAUAACAAAGUGUGGCCUAGAAAACCACUUUCUACUUUUUAGGAGUCUGUAUUAUUUUCAAAAUAUUUAACUCAAUAAAGGAGCAAAAUUACAGGGCCUUUGCAGAGAUUACAUUCCCAAGACAAUGUGUAUCUACGUACAAUCCAUUAUUUAUUAAUUGGGUUUGUGAGACUCAUUCAUGUGCUUCUUGUUAUAAGCCUGUUUAGUUUUAUGGUGUCUUAUUGCAGGACUGAACUUGCUGCCUUCUGUAGGGCUCAGUUACCAUGGUAACAACUGGCUUCAUUGUAUCCAUAUUUUCACUCUAUUUCUGACCUGUUCAUUUGCAGACAAACUCAGAAUUUGGUUUCAAUCUAUUGUCUUGGCUCCUUGGCUCUAAAACUGCUAUGCAUGCACAAACAUGUAUGAAAACCAACUUCCAUGCAGUAUAUGUCACAGAGGAUUUGUGAAGAAAAACCUGCCUAUUGUCAGUGAGGAAAUGAUAGUAAAUGCCAUGCCUAUUAACAUCUUAACUCUUUUGUGGGAAAAACCCCCUUAAGUAUCAUAUUCUUUGCCACAUUUAUUCCCUGCAGUGCUGAACAACCUGGCAAAGUCAGCACCUGAGGAAUACUUCAAAGAAAACCAGGUUUUGGAAUAUGCAACUGAAAUUUCCAACUUAUUGGAUAAAGUCCCGUGAUCAAGCAACCAUGAAAUACAUAGAAGGUUCGUUGCCUGAAAUACGUCUCACAAAAAUGAAACUUCAAGAGUGCUUAAAUGUCAGGAAAAGCUUGUUUGGCGAGAAAAACAUGCUGGUUGGAGAAGUUAUGGAAUUUUUAGCAGAUUUGCUGUUUUUUUUCUCCAGAGAGAUAGUAAAAACAGGUGUUUUUUGAGACACUUGACGCCACACACGCCUCUUCUUACUCAUGUUAAGACCAGCACUGUGAGCAGAGAACAGGACUUCCUUUACAGAAGCAAAAAGCUGGACCAUAGAACCGUUAUCUUGUAAAAGAAAUAUCUAAACACUUAGCGUACUGACUGAGUCAUCUCUCCUGCCCGGCUGCCCCACGCCAAGUCACAAGCCACUGAGUGCUGCCUGGCUAUUCUGCAGGGACAGCCUUGGCGACCAUACAUGGAUGGCUUCCUGCAGGCCUCACUGCCAAUGGCCAACCUUCAGAAACAACGGAGAAGUCGGCCUUGGCCUCGUUGAAGGCUAUCCUUGGAUUAUCCAGCGUCUUUCCCAUUGGUUCAAACCAGGAGACAUUUUGUUGCAUAACUUGGCUCACCUCUCAACCACGCGUAGACCCUUUGCCCUGGUGGCCAGGGGCCCUUGCGACAGCACUCAUGCACCACGGAAAUGAUCCAUGGGAUCCUGAGGGCCUUGUAGAAGGGGGCUGGGUAGAGCUGGACAAAUGAAAUCAAAUUUAAAAGUUAAAGUUAAGAAAGCAGAUCAGAGAAGAGUGAACAAAAUGUUUGAAGAGGAACAGUGACAGAUUCUCAGUGAAAUGACUAUCAUCUACUUUCCCCAACCAUUUGGCCAUCCAUCUGUAGUUCCCCUGCUGUCAGUAUCCUGAAUGGCAGCUGAGGCUCAGCUUCUUUUGUGGGUUCCUUUUCUUUCCUUGCCUCUGGCCCAAAUAUCAGCAUCCUCUUGGGCUCGGUUCCUGGGCUCUAUUCUUGUCUCAGACUGAGCACAUCGGCCCUACCAGGGCCCAGGGCUUUAGCUGCUGUUCUGUAAGACCCCAAAGGAAGCAAGUACUUAAAUAUUAUAAACAAGUGAUAAAAAUACAGGAAAAUGCAGAAACUCUGGCUAAGUCCUCACUCGUCAGGAAGCAGCUGUCAGCCUCAGUGAUACAUUAUAUAAAUUAGGCCAAUGCAACUUGCUCAUCAAGAACAGGGUAAUUCACUAGUGUCUUCUGCUGAGCCAGAUUGAGGCACCUGGGAACAUCACAGGGAGUCAUGAAAAUAAUCCAAAAAGAAGAAACAUAGUCACAGAUCGCUAAGCAGAGACAGCAGCUGAAAUUCCCUGUGGGAUUUCCAGAGAAAGCUACAGGAAAUGUGAGACACAGAGUGUGAUCCAUGAAGCACAGCAGCAGAGAAAGAACAUCUCUACAAGCAGAAGCCACGGCUGAUAUUCAGAAGCACAAUCCAGAAUGGGGAAGAGGCAGCCUAGUGUGGGAGUGCAGGGCGUGAACUUGGGGAUGAGGCUGACUCAGGACUGUUCUUCCAUGAACUAGAACAAGUUCUUUAACCUCUUCCAGCAUGCUCAUCUUCAAAAGACAAGUAAAAUGAAACAUGAACUAAAAAUUCUCUGGAAGGACACAUUAGAAACUAACGUCAGUGGUUCCAUUUUAGAAGACUACACAGAUGGGGAAAGAGAAGGGAAAGACACUUUUCACUUUAUAGUUUGAUACAUUUUCGUUUUUGAACCAGGUGGACAGGUGAUGAUCGUUUAUACCUUAUAAGAUUACACAGUCCUGACAGAUGCAGGUCAGUUAUUGUCGAGUGACUCUUGUCAUCACGUCAUGAUUGAGGCAGUGGGCUACUUGUACAGAUCACUUGAUUUAAGGGUGAUUCACCUGGGAUCUUCUCAUUCAUCAAUCCAUGGAAUCCUGCACCUUCUGAGAGAAAUUGAGUGGAUCCGGAGCUGGAGAUGUUGGCUUCAAGGUAUGAGCCAGUCACAUUCUGCGGGUUCUAGGAAUGGCUUCUCAUUAUGGGAGAACUUGCUUAAAUUAAGCUAUCACAGAGCUCAGAGUUCUAAUACAGUGAGCUCUGCAAGGUACACAAAUGCAGAUAACUUAUACAGGGCUACGAAAUGGACUUAGCUCCUCAGGCAAUUUCAGCUAAAUCAAAAUGUGCUUCUGGAAAAGGGAAAAAGAAACCCAUUAUUUGCAAAUCUGCUAUGGAAAAGAUAUAACGAAAGACACAAAAUAAUGCCGAAAUAUGGAAUGGCUAAGGAAAGGAAGCACCAAAGAAAGACUAUUCAUCUAACAUUUUAUCAUUGGGUAAAACGAAUGGUUUAGUAAAGCUUCCAAGGGAAAUAAUUUUGUUACCUAAAAGUGAGAGUGGAGAAGGUGAAAUCACCACCAUUGACUGCUGUCCCCUGCUAUGGCCUCUUAGCACAAAAAACCCUUGGGAAUCCAUAUCUGAGCUCAUAUCAGAAAAGUGGCUUUUUCAUAGCCCAGAUUAUAUUUUGAUGUCUCAGAAGUCUUUUUUGCAGAGAAGAUCUCAUGUUUUUUUUUUUGCAUUUUAGGUUUUGGGGUACAUGUGCAGAGCAUGCAAUACAGUUGCAUCGGUACACACAUGGCAGUGUGUUUUGUUUGCUUUCUCCCCUUCACCCACAUUUGGCAUUUCUCCCCAGGCUAUCCCUCCCCACCUCCCCCUCCCACUUGCCCUCCCCUUUUCCCCCCAAAAGACCCCAGUGUUUAGUACUCCCCUCUCUGUGUCCAUGUGUUCUCAUUUUUCAUCACCCACCUAUGAGUGAGAAUAUGCGGUGUUUCAUUUUCUGUUCUUGUGUCAGUUUGCUGAGAAUGAUGUUCUCCAGAUUCAUCCAUGUCCCUACAAAUGACACGAACUCAUCAUUUCUGAUUGCUGCAUAAUAUUCCAUGGUGUAUAUGUGCCACGUUUUCCCAAUCCAGUCUAUCAUCAAUGGGCAUUUGGAAGAUCUCAUGUUGAAACAAAAUUGUUGAAGAGCUCAAAUGAUAUUAAUAAAUAAUAAACAUUUAUCAUGGGCUUCUUGA